rnacentral:rRNA from 1 species
GAUGAACGCUGGCGGCGUGCCUAAUACAUGCAAGUCGAGCGAACAGACGAGGAGCUUGCUCCUCUGACGUUAGCGGCGGACGGGUGAGUAACACGUGGAUAACCUACCUAUAAGACUGGGAUAACUUCGGGAAACCGGAGCUAAUACCGGAUAAUAUAUUGAACCGCAUGGUUCAAUAGUGAAAGACGGUUUUGCUGUCACUUAUAGAUGGAUCCGCGCUGCAUUAGCUAGUUGGUAAGGUAACGGCUUACCAAGGCAACGAUGCGUAGCCGACCUGAGAGGGUGAUCGGCCACACUGGAACUGAGACACGGUCCAGACUCCGACGGGAGGCAGCAGUAGGGAAUCUUCCGCAAUGGGCGAAAGCUUGACGGAGCAACGCCGCGUGAGUGAUGAAGGUCUUCGGAUCGUAAAACUCUGUUAUUAGGGAAGAACAAAUGUGUAAGUAACUAUGCACAUCUUGACGGUACCUAAUCAGAAAGCCACGGCUAACUACGUG